rnacentral:lncRNA from 1 species
UCUAGUGAAGGCAAUUAGGAGCCUAAUUGGGCGAGGAUCUCCACAUUAAAUAGCUGGACAGGGCUGCCAUUUACAGCAGUAUAAUGGUCAAAACUACUAUCAGAACAAAGCCCAGACAGAUGCAUUCAAGAGCAAUCAGUUGAGAAGUGGAGGAUGAUCUACCUUUGAGCGCCUAAUGGGUCGAAUCGCUUCUUUCCCAGAAGAAGUGCACCAAGUUGAGUCAAGAAUUCUCACACACGGGUUCUGCUAAUCAGAGAUAAUCAGCCAUCGCCGCCGUGCUCGAGUAUCUCGCCGCCGAGGUGAGUGGUGUCUCCUAUCCUUCUCCUCCUGCUCUUCUCUCUGAGGACCCUUGCUCCGCCGCCUCCAUUGUUCUUAUGUUCAGUGAGUUUGGUCACGGAUCCAGGUCCUGGAGCUGGCCGGCAAUGCCGCGAGGGACAACAAGAAGAACCGGAUAAUCCCUAGUCACGUCCUCCUGGCGGUGAGAAACGACGAGGAGCUCGGGAAGUUGCUAACCGCGUCACCAUCGCCCACGGCGGCGUGCUCCCCAACAUCAACCCGGUGCUGCUGCCCAAGAAGACCGAUAAGGCCGCCAGGGAGGCUGCCUCCCCCAGCAAUGCCACUAAAUCCCCAAAGAAGGCCUAGGGCUUCGUUCUCCCCGCUUCAACCAUGUCCAUGUAUGUAGCUGAUGCAGCACGCCCCAACCAUCUCUUGAUCAAGGAAAGUGAUUUGAAUCAAAUUGGGGGAAUAACUGACAUAGAAGGUGUGGACGACGCCCUUGAUCCAGCUACGCGCCGGUUACGCCACCAAAGCAAAUGCCUGGCAAUAGAAGGUUUCCUUCAUCAUUUACUUACUAAGAUUUUGCUGUACAGAGGCCUAUAAAUCGGCCUUCAGACAUUUGAUUCAGAGAAGAAUUAGAAAUGGAGUUUUGAGGAUUAGUUCCUUACCUUACCUGAUCGCAAGGUCCCGUCGCCCCGGCUAGGGUUGGUCCGAGGACCCCGCUACUCCCGGUCUGGAGCACCCUUCCCCCUCCCUUCCCUUUCUUCUAUCGCCGCUAGCCACCACCGCCUGUACUGCCUGUACCGCCAUCACUUGCCGCCGCCGCUGUCAUCGCCCUCCCCUCAACCGUCGCUGCCUGUCCAUCGCCCUCUCCACCGCCGACAGUCCCCUCCAGCAGCUAUCACUGUUCGCUGUCGCCCCCUCUUCGUGGCCCAUCACCGCCGGCCUUGCUAUUCCGCCACCGCACCCGUCGCCGCUGUCGACCAUCGCCUCACUCCAGCCCCCACCUUUCCACCGCCCGCCGCUGCCUGCCAUCGCCUCGCCACCGGCUGCAGCCUCCUCCCGCCGUCGCCGCCGCUCCCUCUCUCCCCUCUCACGCCGCCUCUUGAUGGCCCUUCUCUUACGGCUAGGGUUUACUCCCCAAUCGUGGGCUUGACGUCAGCUGGCCCACUUCUACCGGCCCACCAACACUUACCCCUCUUUUAGCCAGCCGCGAUCCAAACCGUCUGGCGAGAGCCAUCCAGGCACCCGGUCCAAGUCAAGUCCGCCC